CACUGCCAAUUAGAAUGCAUUUGUAGUAGAAAUGCUAAGUCAGGGCUUGACCCAGUGAUUGAGCACCUGGUGGGAAGGCAGGGCCAACCCAGGAGAGCUCAGGUGUAAGGAAUACAGCUGAGGGACCAGAACGGGUGGAGCCAGGAUGCACUCCUUCCCAGACCUCAUUUAAGGGUUGGCAGUGAAGGUAAGAGUAUCUUGCUAGAGAUCCCUGUGUACCUGUGGCCUUUUGAUGACAAGUGUCCAGAACAACUGCAUACCCCAGGGGGCUUUGUGUUCAGAGAGGAGAUAUAACUUCUGGUAACAUCACCUGAUGUCCCUUUUUUCCUUCAGCUCUCCUCCCUGCUGCUCGACCCAACUGCGUGUCUCACUUCAAAAUUAUGACUUGAGAUCUGGAUCCUGUUCCCAGCUUUGGUGUUGCAAUUUCCUGUUCCACCCAUUCCUUCCAAUAUGCAGGGCUAUUGGAAAAACACUUCAGACAGAAAUAUUUUAUCUUGCAUCUGGCUCAGCUGCACAAAGAUUCACAAGAGUAACAGGACUUUUGCAUAAUGAAAUGGAUGGGGAAAGCCAGGUGCCGGGAAGAAGGAUGAGAAGAUCUGAAGGUGAAUAUUCUGCUGGUGGUGACACUGAACUUAAAGCAAGGAGACUGGCUAAUGGAAAUGAUUAUGGAAGUGGAAGUGACAGCUGCUGAAGUGGAAGGGAAAACUGAAGAUUUAAAGUGCCGAAAAUAUAUCUCAGCGAUGUGUGAAGUGAUGGUGACCCUACCAGUGAAGAGUCCUUGAACUCACAUUCCAUCUAUUGUGCUUUUUCAGGAGAAGCUUCAUUCAAUAUUAAACAGGAGUGCCAUUUUCAGAGAGAAAACUAAGUUGAAGAGUAAAGCCUCCACUAUUUAUGCUAAAGGGACGGACAGUCACAUCUAAUGAAUUAGUUACAUAACCUGUGUCACAGACUUAUUUUCUGGUGACUCCUUUCAGUGGCGAUCUGUAUGAAUCCUUCUUUGUUUUCUGGCUCAAAACUUGCUUCCUGAAGUAUUUCUUGUGAUAAGACUCUAGGAGAUGAGAGGUGGGUGCUGCCGUGUGGCAAUCAGCAUCACUGUCUGGACAAUUUACAUUUCAGAGCAUUUCUUUGGAGCUGUUAGCCUUUGACCCAAGAGUUAAUGGAGUGCUCAGGACUGUUUACUGGACUGUUUACUGGACAUUUUACUGGCAGAAGAUCUGUCCUGUGACAAGUACUCCUGUCUGCUAUGGGAGACUGGGAGAUGAUACCAUCGUAUCUUGUGAAGACAAGACUAGUUGGCUUCUCCAUACUAGUUGGCUUCUCCAUACUCCCUCUUAUUUGCUGGCAAGGCCAGGAAGAUAGGAACAAAAGGAAUUCCUGCUGAGAUCCAAAAGCCAGAAACUGUCAUUCCAAAAGGCUGACUCAACCACUUUGGACUGGUAAGUUUGUGCUGCCAUCGCAAUGUUCAUUGUCAUCAUUGCGAUGAUCACCGUCCUCAUCAACGGAACAAUGCCCAACGGCCCACCUCUACUGAAGAGCAACGACUGAGCCAUGAACCACGCUGGACCCAUGGUGCUUCACGGCCUCAUAGCCUGGGUUGUGCACAUAGCUUACAAAUCCUUGCUCCCUGAACCACUCUCCUACAGUCUAUGAAGAUGGUGAAGGAUCUGGAGGGCAAGGCACAAGAGGAGCAGCUGAGAUCCCUGGGUUUGCUCAGCCCAGAGCAGAGGAACUGAGGGGAGGCCUCAUGGCAACUGCAGCUCCUCACAGAAAGUGGAGGGGCAGCGCUGAGCUCUGCUCUCUGUGGCCGCAACAGGGCCCGAGGGAACGGCAUGGAGCUGUGUCAGGUUUGCAGCACUGAAGAAGAGGUUCUGUUGUUUCACUCUUUCUCACACUCAUCUGUGUAUAAAAACCAAUGCAUUUUCCACAAAAUUUUCUUCAAAACAGAUGUAUUUGGGUCCCUUCAUUAAGUUAAUAUUUUCCUAAUUUCUCUCAUGUGCUGGAAAGGAAUACUUAGCUUUUAAUUAAAUUUUAAUUAAAAUUAAGAAUUACUGUUUUUCUAACAUUUAUUUCUUUAUGUUAUGAGAUCUGUAAAGAUGAGCUAGAAAGAAGCUGGCAUGCAGAGUAUUUAUCUAUUUGUUGAAGCUAUCUUGCC
ensembl:lncRNA